rnacentral:rRNA from 1 species
UGGGGAAUCUUGCACAAUGGGGGCAACCCUGAUGCAGCGACGCCGCGUGAGCGAUGAAGCCCUUCGGGGUGUAAAGCUCUUUCGGCAGGGACGAUAAUGACGGUACCUGCAGAAGCAGCUGCGGCUAACUACGUGCCAGCAGCCGCGGUAAUACGUAGGCAGCGAGCGUUGUUCGGAGUUACUGGGCGUAAAGGGUGCGUAGGCGGCCGAUUAAGUUUGUCGUGAAAUCUCCCGGCUUAACUGGGAGGGUGCGGCGAAUACUGACCGGCUCGAGUGUGGGAGAGGAGAGUGGAAUUCCUGGUGUAGCGGUGAAAUGCGUAGAUAUCAGGAGGAACACCGGCGGUGUAGACGGCUCUCUGGACCAUAACUGACGCUGAGGCACGAAAGCGUGGGUAGCAAACAGG